AUUGAACGCUGGCGGCAGGCCUAACACAUGCAAGUCGAGCGAGCGGCGGACGGGUGAGGAAGGUACGGGGCUCUUCCGGAUGGCGGGGGACAACUACUGGUAACGGUAACUAACACCGCACAACAUCAGAUGAAUCCAUAUGGGAUUAGCUUGUAGGUGAGGUAACGGCUCACCUAGGCGACGAUCCCUAGCUGGUCUGAGAGGAUGAUCAGCCACACUGGGACUGAGACACGGCCCAGACUCCUACGGGAGGCAGCAGUGGGGAAUAUUGCACAAUGGGCGCAAGCCUGAUGCAGCCAUGCCGCGUGUAUGAAGAAGGCCUUCGGGUUGUAAAGUACUUUCAGUCGGGAGGCGUUACCGACAGAAGAAGCACCGGCUAACUCCGUGCCAGCCGCCGCGGUAAUAC
rnacentral:rRNA from 1 species